UACGGAGGGUGCAAGCGUUAUCCGGAUUCACUGGGUUUAAAGGGUGCGUAGGCGGACUGAUAAGUCAGUGGUGAAAUCUCUUUGCUUAACAAAGAAACUGCCAUUGAUACUGUCGGUCUAGAGUAUAGAUGACGUUGGCGGAAUAUGACAUGUAGUGGUGAAAUACUUAGAUAUGUCAUAGAACACCGAUUGCGAAGGCAGCUAACGAAACUAUAACUGACGCUGAGGCACGAAAGUGCGGGGAUCAAACAGG
rnacentral:rRNA from 1 species